AGCUUUGCACAGUGGCAGUAUUGUAGCCAAUGAGGUUUAUCCGAGGCGUGAUUAUUGCUAAUUGAAAAUUGAGUAUGUUGCCAAGUUUAUCAUUAAAGGGUAAAAGCUAUUGUAAAUGAAAGUAUAUUUU
rnacentral:snRNA from 1 species